UAAAAAACGAAGGACCUUAGAAAACUGGUAUUAAAUCAUUCGGAGUACAUGUAUUGUAACAGAUUAUGGUAGUGCAUGUGCGUAUCUUGACGGUUGGCAGUAGAAUGCCACAUUUAUUGCAUAAGCGCAUAAUUAUAUAUGUAAUAAUAUGUACAUGGAUAGGAUUACAAUAUAAUAUAUGCUAAUUAUUAUUAUGCUAUAACUAUUAUGAUAUCCUGACACUCCCCAACCGGAAGAAGCGUUUUCUCCCGAAAACUUAAAUAUACAUCUAUCCAACAUAAUUACUGAAUAAACUAAGAAAAAGAGCAGUAACGUAUGUAAAUCUUUAACUGGAAAGGCAAUCUGGCGAGAUAAUGUUUAGUUAAAGAUGAGGAGGGACAGAACUGGACGGAAACAAACGAAGACACAGACAAAAGAAAUGCGUAAUUUACUGGACAGAAGACAACUACGCAUACAAAUUUAGUGGGCGUGUGAAUUUAUACAAUGAAAAUUUGCUGUUUAUUUUGAAAAAAAUUAGCUAAACCAAAAAAUUUUGAAAGACAAAUCUACGCAAAGGGUGUGAACAAUAUGUGCGAACAAUUCUGAACAGCUUAGUGCUAAUUUCAAGCGACAAAAAGUAAAGGAAAUGAGGAGGAAUAGAAAGAAAAAGUUACAACAUGGCCGUUGACGCGAAAAACUGGAGGAGGACUUCUUGGGGAUUAAAUGGGCCCUUGACUUCCUAAGGGGGCUGACCUAAGUACCCAUCUCAGAGGUCAAAGGUCACGAGGAGGUGUGGCUUGGGUGUGGUCAAGGGACUGGAUGACGUCGGGAACAUGCAACAAAUGAUGUCAGGAGGAGAGUAGUGACGUCACGAACCAGCAGUGAUGUCAUGAAGAGGCUCGACACGUCACCACAAACCAUUCCCGGUAAAUGACGAACUACUACUGACUCAGAAUUACUUCACAAAAAAUUUGAUUCCCGCUUCGUAUCCCUACCAUACUAACAGCAUGGGAAGGAUACCAGCGCGGGAUGGAAAAGAAAAACUGAGUUGAUAUUAAAUACAAAUAAAAUAAAAUGUGUGAAUGGUUCUUUGUAAGAUAUAUAUACAUACUAGAAGCGGCAUGCAUAAUAAUUGAAUCAAAUUUAAAUCAAAUCAAAUAGAAUUAAUAUCAGUACGGAAUACAUAUGUGAAGGGGUGACAAAUAUGUAACCGACAUUUAUGCUACCCAACGAAUAUGUAAGCGACCAGUGAUAAAAUAAAUAAUUGCAUACUUGGCUGGGGGAUGAGUAGAAAAAUAAUUCUGCUGUUGUAAAGUGGAGUUACUUUGAUUUUUUUUAGUUUUUUAUCGUUUGGUGCUUUGCACUUGUCAGUUUCACCGACUUUCACUUUUUUUCGGGUGACACAAGUAGUUUAUUAGUUUAGGUUACGAAUUUCUCAACAGAUUUACUGUCUUCACCUUUAUGCUUUUAUGUGCUUGGUUUUCCCAUUUUCGAAGUAUCAAUAUGGAAUGAUUUUACUUUGAAGACUUUUAUAAGUUAAUUUUGUACACUACAGUACUGUUUGUGCUCACUGAAGACGGUUUUUAGUAAAUGCUCGAACUAGGACGGUAAUUAUUGUACCAAGCCUUUCAUAUGAGAGACUCAAUUCUUUGAUACUCGAUUCAUUGAGAUACUGGAAACUCAUGACGUACUUGGCAUCUAUUAUCCCGCCUUCAUAUAUUAAAAAUAACGUCAUCAAAUAUUUUAGUCAACUUUUAAAAUUUUGCGUUAACUUUAUACGCAAGUACUUCUAUUUCGUGUUUUUGGAGUGCACGAAUAAAUUCGCCAAAUACUCUCAAGGAAUGAAAAUUAACUUCUCCUACCAACAACAAAAUUUUUUCUGACGAUGAAUGAGUCAAAGCUUUAAUACUCCCUAACACCUGGAGUUGUUUUACCAAAUUGUACGGUGUGCGAGGGUGUUCUCCUGAAUAGUGUGCACAAACAAUGCGGCAUGCAGGGUGGCCGUCUCGACUCAAAACUACCAUAAUUUGUCGCAUCUUGUGACAAAAAAGGUAAUGGUACUGGUUUAGCUUUACUUUUGUAAUCGCAGUGCACCAGUAUUGCUUCACCGUGAAAUCCUACAUGCUGAUUUUGGUUUUGUGGUUACAUUCACAUGCAAUAAGAUAUAUAGUCCACCCAGGAGCUAUUUUUUAAAAUAGUUCUCUCUCCUCUAAUGCGUUCUUAUGUGAUAAUGCAUUCGUAUGUGUCUCAGUGAGACAAAGAACAGUAAUUUUUCGUUCAAUCAAUAUUGUCUUUAACUCUUUAACUUUUAGUUCUGUUAAACCUUGUACAUUUGCUGCCGCAAGUCGUAAUGUUCUAUUUUUUUAUUGGUUUUAUUUCUUUGCUCGAACUUGACUGAAUUGUUUCGAUCCAGCAUUCUGGUAGUUUUAAGGGAUUUUUUGCAUUUGUCAACUUAACCUUGUGUGUCCCUGCUGCUUGGCCACUUCUUAAUUUAGAUUCUUGCCCAUAGAAUGUAUAUCCAGCGCUGAUUGUGUCACGGAGUUGCAAGCCUGUAACAUUUCGUGGUGAGCACCAAGGGAGGUCUUCUGCCCACCAAGGUGGCUCCGCGUAUAUCCAAUGAUUUCCGUACAGUUGAAUCAUCAUUUCAGAGAGAACAUGUUUUAAUUCCGCAUGGUUCAAAUCAUACACUACAAAAAAUAAGGUGACCAGUAUAAACACUUUCAUUGCCUUAUUUAUAGACUGCAUAACUAUGAGGACAAAAUUAUGCGACCUUGUAUUAUUAUGAUAGGAUGCUUACAUGAUUUUUCCAACUCCUUAAAAUUUGGAAUGCUUGCUUCAGUCAACUUUGUGCAUAGAAAUCAUAACAUCUUCCAAUUAGAAACCUUUGCACUUGAAACGUCGACCAUCCAGAAAUGUUUAGAUUUGGACAUCCCCAAGUGAUGAAAUCCGUUGGCCACCAUGGUUGAACUUGGUAAUCAGCGUAUCUAACUCUCUUUUUAGUUGAUUUCAAGGCAGCGAGCAUCACUUCUGCGAAUAAUACAUUCAAAUCGUUUCUUUGAUAGGCAUCCACUGCAAGAAAUAAGAAUGAAUCACUAUUUUAUGUUGGUCAGUGUAUCUCACCAGUGUAUUUCCCCCUCGGAGCCCCGGGGAGAAAAUUUUUACCUCGUUAUGACCCCCUUCAAAUACAUUUUAAAACACAUCUUGAAUUUGAAACUAAGCUCUAGGACGAAGGAAGUGGUUGUCAUAAGUUUAACAUGUAAAAAUAGGUAUAUAUAAAAUAUAUACCGUGAGCAAAUGAAGGGCUGUAAACACAUAAAUUUUAAUACUUAACAAAUAUAUAAAGCUAUAAUGAAUAUGAGAAGAUGUCUAAUAAUGUUAACAAAUAAUUAUAUGCAUGAAAAAUGAGCAUAAUCAUUAUUUCAUGCUAAUGAAAGUGAAGGUGAUGGUAGAAUUCACCCUAUUUUCAUGUUGCCUCCUCUGGAUAAUCCAGUACCCGCAACCUCGUCAAAUGGAUUUCCGGCAUUCGUUAUUCCGCAGAUAUUGUCCGGAAUCAUAACCCAUAUAAUCAAAGUUGAAAUCAGUAAUAAGUUCAUGGUCGUUGGGUGUGUAAGUAAAAGAUUGCCCGAUAUAUUUAUAACGUAUACCUUCAAUGAAGGUCCUUCAUCAUUUGGAUAUUCCGUUUUGAAAAUAUGAUUGACGAAAUCCUACUUAUUGCAUAUUGGUCGGGUAGCAUAAAUGUCGCUACAUAAAGGUCGGUUACAUAUUUGUUGUAUGUGACUCUACCAUAAUUUUACCAAAAUAUUGAUAAGUUGCACAAGCUACGGAAACUCGAAAAAUUACUGCAGCUGCAAUAUAUAAGGUAUGUAUGUGUCCACUUCUUAAUGUUUCACAUUUUCUGACCGUGAAAUAAUACUUAUUACGAACACAAGUUAUUUAAUUACUUAUAUAACACAACUUUAUUAUGUCUUUGUCAUUAGUAUGUGUCUCUCACUGUUCUAUAUGUACAUAUAACAAUACGACACUUAAUACUUUUACUCCAGUAAAGAUUUAACAAAUCUUAUAACAGUUUAUCACUAAAAAUCUCUAGAAGACCAACAAUUGAACUCCAGUUUGGGUAGUACUUGGAUUAAGUAUAGUAAUAUAUAUGUAGUAAUUGAUAAUAAUACAGGUAGGAUCUGAUUGUACCAGUAAAUGUCAGUAGAGGGAUAAUAAUCCAUGGUAUAGAUUAAGUCUAAUAAGUGACGCAUAGUUUCCAAUUGGUUCUCUAAGUUAAUCAAAUUAUGGGAUAAUUUGUCGUAUUUAAUUUAAUAUUUAUUUAUGAAUACGUACAUCGCAUCGUCACAAAUUAUGUAUCUAGUUACUGAAUCACUUGAUCAUCAAAUUAUCUAUAUUUUAAGGCCUUCUACGCUCGAUUCUUCGUGAAAGGAAUAUGUAAGUACUUGUGUAAAUAACUAGUAUCAAGGAAAUCCACUUGUAUGUAUUUAUAACUGCUUCUACUGCAUCAAACAGAGAAAGUUGCAUAAUUGAAUAUCAAUAAAUAAUGAAGCUAACUGACCAGCA